rnacentral:rRNA from 1 species
AAGAGACAGCAGUCGCCGCGGGAAUACAGAGGGUGCGAGCGUUAAUCGGAUUUACUGGGCGUAAAGCGUGCGUAGGCGGCUAAUUGAGUCGGAUGUGAAAUCCCCGAGCUUAACUUGGGAAUUGCAUUCGAUACUGGUUAGCUAGAGUGUGGGAGAGGAUGGUAGAAUUCCAGGUGUAGCGGUGAAAUGCGUAGAGAUCUGGAGGAAUACCGAUGGCGAAGGCAGCCAUCUGGCCUAACACUGACGCUGAGGUACGAAAGCAUGGGGAGCAAACAGGAUUAGAUACCCCUGUAGUCCCUGUCUCUUAUAC